rnacentral:tRNA from 1 species
AGGUAAAAAGCGAACCAUUGCAAUCAGUUUCGACCUGACACUUGAUAUUAAAUUAUCUUUACCUA